rnacentral:rRNA from 1 species
AACGCUAGCUACAGGCUUAACACAUGCAAGUCGAGGGGCAGCAUUUCAGUUUGCUUGCAAACUGGAGAUGGCGACCGGCGCACGGGUGAGUAACACGUAUCCAACCUGCCGAUAACUCGGGGAUAGCCUUUCGAAAGAAAGAUUAAUACCCGAUGGUAUAAUCAGACCGCAUGGUCUUAUUAUUAAAGAAUUUCGGUUAUCGAUGGGGAUGCGUUCCAUUAGGCAGUUGGUGAGGUAACGGCUCACCAAACCUUCGAUGGAUAGGGGUUCUGAGAGGAAGGUCCCCCACAUUGGAACUGAGACACGGUCCAAACUCCUACGGGAGGCAGCAGUGAGGAAUAUUGGUCAAUGGGCGCAGGCCUGAACCAGCCAAGUAGCGUGAAGGAUGACUGCCCUAUGGGUUGUAAACUUCUUUUAUAUGGGAAUAAAGUUUUCCACGUGUGGAAUUUUGUAUGUACCAUAUGAAUAAGGAUCGGCUAACUCCGUGCCAGCAGCCGCGGUAAUACGGAGGAUCCGAGCGUUAUCCGGAUUUAUUGGGUUUAAAGGGAGCGUAGGUGGACAGUUAAGUCAGUUGUGAAAGUUUGCGGCUCAACCGUAAAAUUGCAGUUGAUACUGGCUGUCUUGAGUACAGUAGAGGUGGGCGGAAUUCGUGGUGUAGCGGUGAAAUGCUUAGAUAUCACGAAGAACUCCGAUUGCGAAGGCAGCUCACUGGACUGCAACUGACACUGAUGCUCGAAAGUGUGGGUAUCAAACAGGAUUAGAUACCCUGGUAGUCCACACAGUAAACGAUGAAUACUCGCUGUUUGCGAUAUACAGUAAGCGGCCAAGCGAAAGCAUUAAGUAUUCCACCUGGGGAGUACGCCGGCAACGGUGAAACUCAAAGGAAUUGACGGGGGCCCGCACAAGCGGAGGAACAUGUGGUUUAAUUCGAUGAUACGCGAGGAACCUUACCCGGGCUUAAAUUGCAUUUGAAUAUAUUGGAAACAGUAUAGCCGUAAGGCAAAUGUGAAGGAGCUGCAUGGUUGUCGUCAGCUCGUGCCGUGAGGUGUCGGCUUAAGUGCCAUAACGAGCGCAACCCUUAUCUUUAGUUACUAACAGGUCAUGCUGAGGACUCUAGAGAGACUGCCGUCGUAAGAUGUGAGGAAGGUGGGGAUGACGUCAAAUCAGCACGGCCCUUACGUCCGGGGCUACACACGUGUUACAAUGGGGGGUACAGAAGGCAGCUACCUGGUGACAGGAUGCUAAUCCCAAAAGCCUCUCUCAGUUCGGAUCGAAGUCUGCAACCCGACUUCGUGAAGCUGGAUUCGCUAGUAAUCGCGCAUCAGCCAUGGCGCGGUGAAUACGUUCCCGGGCCUUGUACACACCGCCCGUCAAGCCAUGAAAGCCGGGGGUACCUGAAGUACGUAACCGCAAGGAGCGUCCUAGGGUAAAACUGAAA